GACGAACGCUGGCGGCGUGCUUAACACAUGCAAGUCGAACGAAGUGGCGAACGGGUGAGUAACGCGUAAACAACCUGCCCUUCAGAGGGGGACAACAGUUGGAAACGACUGCUAAUACAGCAUAAUGAAGGAGGGGAUGGAGUAUGAUUGGCUAGUUGGCGGGGUAACGGCCCACCAAGGCGAUGAUCAGUGGCCGUUCGGAUGUGAUGAACGGCCACCUUGGGCCUGGUACACCGCCCAGACUCCUACGGGAGGCAGCAGGGGGGAAUCUUCCGCAAUGGAAGAAAGUGUGACGGAGCAACGCCGCGUGAGUGAUGACGGCCUUCGGGGUGUAAAGCUCUGUUAAUCGGGACGCGGUACCGGAAUAGAAAGCCACGGCUAACUACGUGCCAGCAGCCGCGGUAAUAC
rnacentral:rRNA from 1 species